GCCAGAGUGGUGUAGUGGUUUGAGAGCUGGACUAGGACUCUGGAGAUCAGGGUUCGAAUCUCCACUCGGCCA